rnacentral:rRNA from 1 species
CCUACGGGUGGCUGCAGUGGGGAAUAUUGCACAAUGGGGGGAACCCUGAUGCAGCGACGCCGCGUGAGUGAAGAAGUAUUUCGGUAUGUAAAGCUCUAUCAGCAGGGAAGAAAUAAAGUCCUUCGGACUUUGGACGGUACCUGACUCAGCAGCCCCGGCUAACUACGUGCCAGCAGCCGCGGGAAUACGGAGGGGGCAAGCGUUAGCCGGAUUUACUGGGGGUAAAGGGAGCGUAGACGGCAGGGCAAGUCUGGAGUGAAAUCCCAGGGCUUAACCCUGGAACUGCUUUGGAAACUGCGAAGCUGGAGUGCAGGAGAGGUAAGCGGAAUUCCUAGUGUAGCGGUGAAAUGCGUAGAUAUUAGGAGGAACACCAGUGGCGAAGGCGGCUUACUGGACUGUAACUGACGUUGAGGCUCGAAGGCGUGGGGAGCAAACAGGAUUAGAUACCCUUGUAGUC